rnacentral:lncRNA from 1 species
UUAUAUGUUAUUUGUACAGUUUUUCUUAAACACUAAUUGUAAUCUCAAAAAAAAGUUUAGAUCAUCUACACGGAGAUAACUUGAUUGUGCACAAUGCAGAUGGAGUUUGAGAGAAGAAGCUGUACACAGCAGCUACAAUUGUAAAAGAGAUUGAUUCAAGCUGGAGCCAAAUUACAUAGAGUUGAUGGAGUGUGCACAUAGAGUUGGAAAGAAGAAACUGUACAUAGCCAUAAAUGUUAAAAGAGAUUGAUUUCCAGUUGGAGCCAAAUUAAUUACAUGACAUUUUCAUACGUUCAACAAAAUUUCUAAAAAUAGUAUCGUUUGAAACUAUGUCAUCA